UACGACGGGGGCCAGCGUUGGUCGGAAUUACUGGGCGUAAAGCGCACGUAGGCGGAUUUGUUAGUCAGGGGUGAAAUCCCGGGGCUCAACCUCGGAACUGCCUUUGAUACUGCAAGUCUCGAGUCCGGAAGAGGUGGGUGGAAUUCCUAGUGUAGAGGUGAAAUUCGUAGAUAUUAGGAAGAACACCAGUGGCGAAGGCGGCCCACUGGUCCGGUACUGACGCUGAGGUGCGAAAGCGUGGGGAGCAAACAGG
rnacentral:rRNA from 1 species